rnacentral:rRNA from 1 species
UACGAGGGGGGCGAGCGUUGUUCGGAAUUAUUGGGCGUAAAGGGUGCGUAGGCGGUUCCGCAAGUCCUGUGUGAAAUCUUCGGGCUUAACUCGAAGCCUGCACGGGAAACUGCGGGGCUUGAGUGUGGGAGAGGUGAGUGGAAUUCCCGGUGUAGCGGUGAAAUGCGUAGAUAUCGGAAGGAACACCUGUGGCGAAAGCGGCUCACUGGACCAUUACUGACGCUGAUGCACGAAAGCUAGGGGAGCAAACAGG